UAUUUAAAUAGUUAUAUAGCCCUAAAGGCAUUUGUAGGGCAAAUGUAUUUUUAUAUAUUUUAUUUUGAGGGGAAAUUACUCCCAAAAGUUGAAUCAUGAUAAAACAUGAUUUUACAAAUUUUCUGGAGUUUAUUUGGACCAAUUUGGAGUUCAAAAUCAAAAGAUAUCAAAGAAAAGGCUGAAAGAAAAAAAAAGGAGAGAACUGGACCGGCCCGGCCAAAUGGGCCGCCCCGGAACCAUCCCGACCGCGCCC
rnacentral:lncRNA from 1 species